GCCUCCUAGCCCUGAGGACAGCC
rnacentral:piRNA from 1 species